rnacentral:lncRNA from 1 species
AAAAAGUUCAGUUUAGGGUUUAAAACCAUAAUGCUGACUAAAAGGAAAAUUCAGUUUAGGGUUUAAAACCCUAACACUAACUAAAAGGAAAAUUCAGUUUAGGGUUUAAAACCCUAACACUAACUAAAAGGAAAAUUCAGUUUAGGGUUUAAAACCCUAAUGCUGGCUAAAAGGAAAAUUCAGUUUAGGGUUUAAAACCCUAAUGCUGACUAAAAGGAAAAUUCAGUUUAAGGUUUAAAACCCUAAUGCUGAUUGCAUGGAAAAAGCUCAGUUUAGAGUUUAAAACUCUAAUGCUGGCUGAAAGGAAAAUUCAGUUUAGGGUUUAAAACCCUAAUGCUGAUUGCAUGGAAGAAGCUCAGUUUAGAGUUUAAAACUCUAAUGCUGGCUGAAAGGAAAAUUCAGUUUAGGGUUUAAAACCCUAAUGCUGAUUGCAUGGAAAAGCUCAGUUUAAAGUUUAAAACUCUAAUGCUGGCUGAAAGGAAAAUUCAGUUUAGGGUUUAAAACCCUAAUGCUGAUUGCAUGGAAAAGCUCAGUUUAGAGUUUAAAACUCUAAUACUGGCUGAAAAGAAAAUUCAGUUUAGGGUUUAAAACCCUAAUGCUGAUUGCAUGGAAAAGCUCAGUUUAGAGUUUAAAACUCUAAUGCUGGCUGAAAGGAAAAUUCAGUUUAGG